rnacentral:piRNA from 1 species
UGCCUGUUCAAUAUUAAACAUGAGCUUUAAA